GAUGAAGAACGUAGUGAAAUGCGAUAAGUAAUGUGAAUUGCAGAAUUCAGUGAAUCAUCGAAUCUUUGAACGCACAUUGCGCCCGCCAGUAUUCUGGCGGGCAUGCCUGUCCGAGCGUCAUUUCAACCCUCGAACCCCUCCGGGGGGUCGGCGUUGGGGAUCGGGAACCCCUAAGACGGGAUCCCGGCCCCGAAAUACAGUGGCGGUCUCGCCGCAGCCUCUCCUGCGCAGUAGUUUGCACAACUCGCACCGGGAGCGCGGCGCGUCCACGUCCGUAAAACACCCAACUUUCUGAAAUGUUGACCUCGGAUCAGGUAGGAAUACCCGCUGAACUUAAGCAUAUCAAUAAGCGGAGGA
rnacentral:misc_RNA from 1 species